rnacentral:misc_RNA from 1 species
UUUACGCGCAACAUUAUUACAAAGAUCCACGCAUGAGGAAGCUACGGUUUAAGUUUAUGAAUAAGAAACAUAUAUAUGCACCAAAGUAUACUUUCCGGUAACUUAAAAGUUACUAUUAUUCAUUUAUCGGAUUGAUCCGACCUGUUUUCACAUGAGAUGGAAACGAGCAAACGGCAGAUUUGGACUUUGAAACAUGUCGGACUUUCCGGAUCUUGACUCCACGUGGUCUUGGGUUGUAAUGGUGGCAACUUUUGUGUCGCUGUUUGUGAUUGGUGGAACAAACUACACAGUCGGACUGGUACACAACAUUCUGUUGGACAAGUAUAACGAGAGCCAGACUGCAACAGCAUGGGUUGGGGCUGUACAUUCGUCUGUUUCAAAUCUUGCAGCCCCACUGUCAAGCUUAUUGAUCGACCAGUUUAGUGUCCGAGUCGCAAUGAUGACGGGUGGUAUCCUCUACACAGUAGGCUUUCUGUCAACUGCGUUUGUUCCAUCCAUUGGAUUAUCCAUACUCACUUUUGGGAUUAUUGCAGGUCUUGGCGGUGCUACUGGAUGGACGGCCAGUAUGCUAGCACCAAACUUCCACUUCGAGAAAUACAGAAAUCUUGCUGUGGGAAUAUCUUUUUCCGGUAUUGGUGCGGGUAUGUUCGGCGUUCCUCCAGUAGUUUCCUGGACAGCGGAGCAUUAUGGGAGUUUUGGAUUUUUUGUUGCAUUGGCGUGUGUGUCUGCUCAAUUUAUCGUCUGUGGAAUGGUAGCCAGUCCAUCCAGUCUAGAAACCCAUUCACGUACUGUACGGCAUGCAAAUUACAAGCGAGGCCCAAACAGAGGAAUUUUAUCAACUUAUUCAAAAGUAAUAACGACGAAAGUUGUUUUGUGUUAUACGUUUAGUAUGUUAACUUACGGGUUCGGAAUGUACACUAUAUUUGUCUUUUUACCAGUUUAUUGCAUCCGGCAAGGAUCAACCGAUAUGCAGGCAUCAUACGUUCUAUCAAUUUGUGGAAUGUCUACAAUAUUUGGACGCAUUUUGACAGGUUUUAUUGCAAACUUUAAAUCAGUCAAUGAAAUUAUUCUUUACGGGGGAAGUUUAGUUAUUAUUACGAUAUUGACAGUGCUCUUUCCACUGUAUUCUGCAAAUAUUACCGGACAAAUAGUAUAUGCAGUUUUAUUUGGACUUUUUUUUGGCUGUCCAUAUGUGACAAUUACCCCGAUUAAUUUAUCAUUCCUCGGAGUUGGACAUAUUUCUGCGGCCCUUGGCAUAGAACUUUGUGGUUGUGGAGCAGGUGGCAUCAUAGGACCAAUUCUAGCAGGUUUGCUGGCAGACUCAGGAGGUUCGUUCUCUCAUGUCUUUAUCCUUGCAGGUAUUUGUUUUGCUGUUUCCACAUGUUUUGGUUUUAAGUAGUAACGACAGUACAUGUAUUCAGUUCAUAUGGCGACUUCCCAACGAGACUCAGAGUGUUUCUCCGGGUAUUACGCCAGGCACGGACGGGCAUAUAGUUAGAGCCACCAACCUUUCUCAAGCCAACUGAAUGGUUCGAACCCAAAGAGGCAUUUCUAUUGGGGUAUCAGCCCUGUUAGGAUUUAUACCUUUAAUGUUUCAUGGACAGAACCAGGGAGAUGCCCAUCUUGCAAUUUCUGUUGACGUAAAGGAAGAAGACAACCAAUUAGAAACGGUCAAAGAGAAAA